ACCCGGUCCCCGCCGCCGCCGCCGCUGCCGCCGCCGCAUCCUCGGUGCCUGCCAGGAGCCGGCGUCCCCCGAGCCCCUCGCGCCCGGCACGGCCAUGGCUUCGGUGGCGCUGAUGCCGCUCCUGCUGCUGCUGCUGCAGCCUCCACCUGCCACCCCCGCGCCUUCCGCCCGCGACCCCUUCGCCCCGCAACUCGGGGACACGCAGAGCUGCCAGCUGCGGUGCCGCGACCGCUAUCCCGGUCCGCAGCUCUCGCAGGCAGAGCUUGAGGAGGAGGACCCCACGGAGUCCCCAUAUGAGUAUGACAGGGCUGUCCUGAUCAGUGCUUGUGAGCGUGGCUGCCGCCUCUUCUCCAUCUGCCGAUUCGUGGCCAGGAGCUCCAAGCCCAAUGCCACCCAGACUGAGUGUGAAGCAGCCUGUGUGGAGGCCUAUGUGAAGGAGACCGAGCAGCAGGCCUGCAGCGAGGGUUGCUGGAGCCAGAACCCGGAGCCGGAACCUGAACCCGAGCCUGAGCCAGAGCAGAAGAGAAAGGUCCUGGAAGCUCCAAGUGGGGCCCUUUCGCUCCUGGACUUGUUUUCCACCCUCUGCAAUGACCUUGUCAACUCGGCCCAGGGCUUCGUCUCCUCCACCUGGACAUACUACCUGCAGACUGACAAUGGGAAGGUGGUGGUGUUCCAGACCCAGCCUGUGGUAGAGAACCUGGGGCAUGAAGGGGCCCGUCUGCAGCGAGUAGAGGUGACCUGGCGGGGAUCCCACCCUGAGGCCUUGGAGGUACACGUGGACCCUGUAGGCCCCUUGGACAAAGUGAGGAAGGCCAAGAUCCGAGUCAAGACCAGCAGUAAGGCCAAGGUGGAGUCCGAUGAGCUGCAGGACAACGACUUCCUCAGUUGCAUGUCCCGGCGCUCAGGGCUCCCUCGCUGGAUCCUGGCCUGCUGCCUCUUCCUUUCUGUGCUGGUGAUGCUGUGGCUGAGCUGCUCCACCCUGGUGACCGCACCUGGCCAACACCUCAAGUUUCAGCCCCUGACCCUGGAGCAGCACAAGGGCUUCAUGGUAGAGCCAGACUGGCCCCUGUACCCUCCCCCGUCGCAUGCUUUUGGGGACAGCCCCCCACCCUACAAGCUGAAGCUGGACCUGACCAAGCUCCUGGGCAUGGCCAGGACCCCGGUCCACUUGGAGAUGGGGACAGCCCUGGCAACUCCCCGUGGCUUAAGGAAGGACAGCCCCUCUGCCACCCAGCCCACAUCACACUUCUGACUAGGGAUGUCCCGAGAAAAGUGGCCUUUGCUACCUGCUUGGCCCGGAUGGGAGGCUUGCAGGACAAGAGCAGCCUCCCCCCACGAGGCCACAGCCACGGCUCUCCAUCCUUCCUGUCCAUUCUGCUGACUCCCUGAGAUUCUUCCAAUAAAUCCUCUUUUCAGCCAACUGGAGUCGUUUCUAUUGCCGGCAACCAGAGAUUGCUGGGGAGAGUUUGGGACGAGGGGUGUGGUGGUGGUCAAUGGGGUGGCGGUUUCCCAGGGCUGAUGGACAUCUAUGGGUGACAAGUGGGCUGGGGGAGGGGGUUUAGAGGGAACAAGGUGUGGGGCUGAUUAUCAGCCCAUCCAUGCUUCACCUUACCUUGUGUCCCAGGAGGUGGCGAUCCACUUGGGCUCUCUGCCUUUUGCUAGAGUCACCACAGGUGGGAGGUGGGAGGAGGGAAGAGCGAGAAGUCAGAGUGUUUCUCUUCUGGUGUCGGUCCCUGUAUCCCCCAACCUCCAGCCUGUGCGUGGUCACAGCUCCUCGCUGUUGCUCUUCCAGGGUGCUGCGCCACCCCCUGUCGGUUACCCAACCCUGCCCACACCUCUGCAGAUAGCCCCUUUAUACAACUCCUGAAGCAUCCAUUCUGAGCGGCUCCUGCCGGCACCUUCCUCCCUAAUACCAUGAACAUCAGGACUCAACAUAUAGACAAUUUAGCCCCCAAGGGAUUGUUCUGGGUCCUGGUGGGGUUUCAAGGCAGCCCCUUGGAACGUUGCCAAGAAAUGACACCUGGGCAGAGGUAAGAAGCAACAGCAGGCCCGUGCUGCCCAGUAGAGCUUUCUGCAAUGAUGGAAACAUUCUGUCUGC